CCUACGGGAGGCUGCAGUGAGGAAUAUUGGUCAAUGGACGAGAGUCUGAACCAGCCAAGUAGCGUGAAGGCUGCCUUCCCUCUUUUUUUUCCCCUUCUUUUAUAUGGGAAUAAAAUGUUCCACGUGUGGGAUUUUGUAUGUACCAUAUGAAUAAGGAUCGGCUAACUCCGUGCCAGCAGCCGCGGUAAUACGGAGGAUCCGAGCGUUAUCCGGAUUUAUUGGGUUUAAAGAGAGCGUAGGUGGAUUGUUAAGUCAGUUGUGAAAGUUUGCGGCUCAACCGUAAAAUUGCAGUUGAAACUGGCAGUCUUGAGUACAGUAGAGGUGGGCGGAAUUCGUGGUGUAGCGGUGAAAUGCUUAGAUAUCACGAAGAACUCCGAUUGCGAAGGCAGUUCACUGGACUGCAACUGACACUGAGGCUCGAAAGUGUGGGUAUCAAACAGGAUUAGAUACCCGAGUAGUC
rnacentral:rRNA from 1 species